rnacentral:snoRNA from 1 species
UUGGCCCUGAAUCAUGGCGAGCAGUUUGCUGAAGCUGUUGGUUUCAUGCAGGAGCCUAAAGAAUUAUCUUUCUAUGGUCUGUUGGCCAUUUUAUAACUUCGGAAAUGUAGUGAUCAAUUCAUUAGAAAGAAACAUGA